CCAUUGGUUGAAGAGGUGGUGACCGUGGCGGUGUAGGUGGAAGCAGCGGUGGAGGAGGAGGAUGAGGUAGCCAACACUGUUUUUUAUAUAUAUAUAUAUAUAUACAGGGAACCUGAGAAACGGCUACCACAUGCAAGGAAGGCAGCAGGCGCGCAAAUGACCCACUCCCGACGCGGAAGGUAGUGACGACAAAUAACAAUACAGGACUCUUUAGAGGCCCUGUAAUUGUAAUGAGUCCACUUGAAAUCCUCUGAUCUGAUGAAAAACUCUGAUCAAUUGG